AAAGCUUGCUUUCCUUGAUGACGACUGGCGCACGGGUGAGUAACGCGUAUCCAACCUUCCCAUAACUACGGGAUAACCCGUUGAAAGACGGCCUAAUACCGUAUGACAUCGUUUGCUGACAUCAAAUAACGAUUAAAGGUUUAGCGGUUAUGGAUGGGGAUGCGUCUGAUUAGCUUGUUGGCGGGGUAACGGCCCACCAAGGCUACGAUCAGUAGGGGUUCUGAGAGGAUGGUCCCCCACAUUGGAACUGAGACACGGUCCAAACUCCUACGGGAGGCAGCAGUGAGGAAUAUUGGUCAAUGGGCGAGAGCCUGAACCAGCCAAGUAGCGUGCAGGAAGACGGCCCUAUGGGUUGUAAACUGCUUUUAUGUGGGGAUAAAGUGCGCGACGUGUCGUGCAUUGCAGGUACCACAUGAAUAAGGACCGGCUAAUUCCGUGCCAGCAGCCGCGGUAAUACGGAAGGUCCGGGCGUUAUCCGGAUUUAUUGGGUUUAAAGGGAGCGUAGGCUGUCUAUUAAGCGUGUUGUGAAAUUUACCGGCUCAACCGGUGGCUUGCAGCGCGAACUGGUCGACUUGAGUAUGCAGGAAGUAGGCGGAAUUCAUGGUGUAGCGGUGAAAUGCUUAGAUAUCAUGACGAACUCCGAU
rnacentral:rRNA from 1 species